rnacentral:rRNA from 1 species
UACGUAGGUAGCGAGCGUUGUCCGGAAUGACUGGGCGUAAAGGGUGCGUAGGUGGUAUGACAAGUUGGUAGUGAAAUUCCGAAGCUUAACUUCGGCGCUACUACCAAGACUGUUAAACUUGAGUACGGGAGAGGUAAGUGGAAUUCCUAGUGUAGCGGUGGAAUGCGUAGAUAUUAGGAGGAACACCUGAGGCGAAGGCGACUUACUGGCCCGCAACUGACACUGAGGCACGAAAGCGUGGGGAGCAAAC